rnacentral:tRNA from 1 species
GGCGGUGUAGCUCAGUUGGUUAGAGCAACGGAAUCAUAAUCCGUGUGUCCGGGGUUCGAAUCCCUGCACCGCUA